rnacentral:misc_RNA from 1 species
GAUGAAGAACGCAGCGAAAUGCGAUACGUAAUGUGAAUUGCAGAAUUCAGUGAAUCAUCGAAUCUUUGAACGCACAUUGCGCCCGCCAGCACUCUGGCGGGCAUGCCUGUUCGAGCGUCAUUAUAACCACUCAAGCUCUCGCUUGGUAUUGGGGUUCGCGGUUUCGCGGCCCCUAAAAUCAGUGGCGGUGCCUGUCGGCUCUACACGUAGUAAUACUUCUCGCGAUUGAGUUCGAUAGGUCUACUUGCCAGUAACCCCCAAUUUUUACAGGUUGACCUCGGAUCAGGUAGGGAUACCCGCUGAACUUAAGCAUAUCAAUAAGCGGAGGA